GAACACCAUGUCACCCUUCUCAGCUCGCUGAAAAACAAGUGUAAAAGUUACAGGUCUAAGUGAUGUGCUGGUUACAGAGAGCAGUGGAAAGCGAGGGAGGGAUUACUGAAAUCAGUGCAAGAGUAUGCUAGCAGAUAGAGAGAGAGGCAAACAAAAAAGAGUGAGAUGAAACAAGCGAGCAGAGGAGUGAGCUAAAGGAGGGAGCAAGCGCUAAAGAACAAAAAAUAUGAAAAUGUGAGUGAGUCGCUGAAGAGAGGAGCACGAGAGAGCGAGGCAGUGAGAGAGCAGGCAAAAGGAGAGCAAUAAAGGGCAUUGUAGACCUGAAGAGGAUGAAACACGUCUUAGGAAAGUACUCCAGCUUUUCGUGUGGAACGGAACUGAAUCUCAGAUUUGGCUUUUCUUCACGCACAACUGUGCUUCUCUGAGAUGCAUUUAGAGUGACUGGACUCGAGGGAGUACAGGACAGGAAAUACCUGCUACUCCCUUCUCCCCAUCUCUGGUUGUACUCUAAGCAGAGGACAGUGCAUGAACAGUGUAUAACAACUAACCAGGAAUUUGGAGAAGCGGAAUGUGGAGCAGGGAGAUGGACAAUGACCCAAAACAUACUGCAAAAGCAACCCAGGAGUUUUUUAAGGCAAAGAAGUGGAAUAUUCUGCAAUGGCAGAGUCAAUCACCUGGGCUUAACCCGAUCAAGCAUGCUGAAGACAAAACUUAAGGCAUAAAGACCCACGAACAAACAACAACUAAAGACAGCUGCAGUAAAGGCCUGUCAAAGCAUCACAAAGGAGGAAACCCAGCAUUUGAUGGUGUCCGUGUGUUCCAGACUUCAAGCAGUCAUUGCCUGCAAAGGAUUCUCGACUAAGUAUUAAACAUUUACAUUUUAUUUAUUUUUUGUUAAUUUGUCCAAUUACAUUUGAGCCCCUGAAAUAAGGGGUCUGUGUAUGAAAA
ensembl:lncRNA